UCAUGAUGCCACAAAGAUCAUCGACAAUAUGUAGUCAAUUAAGGUGGUAAGCAAUCCACUUGACUAAUAACUCAACAAGUAAAAUUAUAUGAACGUUUCGAGAAACGCUUCAUGAGUGCAUUCCACAGUACUUUGUGAUCAUUACUUUUUGCACAGAUUGCCAUUGAAGGCUUUUGUCGAUGUGGCGCGUUAAAGACUUUGAGCGCAUGAGAUGUGAAAUCUCGGCAUCUAGGCUUGUUAGCCUGGGGGUCAAAACAUGUGGUUUAAUCCUUUCCAAUGAAAGGUUCCACAGAUACCAAGCGAAGAUCCGCCUUAGGCAUCUAGUACGUCAAAACUCAAAGGAGCAGAAUGUUACAUUGCUCUUGCAUACAAAACCAAGCUGUUAUGAAACUCGAUAGAGGUCACAAACGAUGUUUUUAAUGGUUUGUCAUUCGGAUUGAUCAUACACAAUCCGGAAAAGCCGCGAAUUGAUCAAACACAAUUCGGAAAAAGGCCUCGGAUUGAUCAAACACAAUCCGGUGAAAGGUCGGGGUUGAUCAAACACAACCCGGACAAAGAAACAAGAGUGAUCCAACAUACUCUUGACCCGCGAAUAAAAUUCCGGGAUUUUUGGUACCUGCACACACAAAAUCCCAAGCAUAGAAUGGAGAUGGAGAAGGGAGGAAAGGAUUUUAUCCUCCCCGAGUUAUUGAACUUGGAAGAGUUUAAGGUUUCAAAACAUACCUUUCUAAAGGCUGCCGAGAGGAGAAAUAACGUUUCGCCUACUUUUACUUCGAAUUUGGGGCUGAAAAUUUGACAGGAGGAGCAGCUCUGGAUGGGGAAGCUUCUAUCAAAAUUUCAGGUUGAUCGGAGCAAGGGAAGGUGGUGAACCGGUGGUCGGUAGCGGCGGCGGUCUGGAAUUUUCCGGCGGCCGGUUCGGAGACUUUCCGGCCGGUUCUCAGGGUGAGGCCGGCGGCGUUGGAUCCGUGACGGAAAGAGCUUUCUGGGGAUAUAAAAUUCUGGCAGAGGGCAGUCGGAAUUUUGGUCGGAAAUCGGGAAAAACAAGGCUGCCCGAUUUUAGGGUUUUGGUUUUAGGGUUUAGAAAAAAAUGGUGGGCUAUUGGCUCUAGGGUUAAAACAAAGUGCAUGAUAACGUGAUGAAGAAUAAAGUGUAGAGACAAAGAGAUAGCAAGAGAGUCAUCUUAUUCAUUGAUAGGAGCCCUUUAUAUAGAGAAUUACACAAUACCAAUAUGGUAAGGAUAUGAAUACAUAGAUCUAGUCUAACUACAUAUCCUAUUGGCAUAAGGCCAAGGCACACAUAGAGAAUAUCCUAGAACAAUCUUCAAAUUAUACGGAAUUUUAGCAAUUAUGUCUGAUUUAUGAAAAUUGGAGACUUUAGGGGGUAAAUUUUCAAAAUUAAAACUAUAGGGAAUGAAAUGAUAUUAACCCCAAACCUCAGAGAGAUAAACUGAAAUUAAUCUUUAUUAUUAUCUCCGAUUAUUAUGUAAUGCGAUUCAAUUGUAGGAACUGUGUGACUAGGAACUACGUAUAUAUUCUUCAUGAAAACUAUAUUUAUCAAAGUACGAUUAGUGUCAGAAUUCAUGU
rnacentral:lncRNA from 1 species